rnacentral:rRNA from 1 species
GACGAACGCUGGCGGCGUGCUUAACACAUGCAAGUCGAACGGAAAGGCCCUGCUUUUGUGGGGUGCUCGAGUGGCGAACGGGUGAGUAACACGUGAGUAACCUGCCCUUGACUUUGGGAUAACUUCAGGAAACUGGGGCUAAUACCGGAUAGGAGCUCCUGCUGCAUGGUGGGGGUUGGAAAGUUUCGGCGGUUGGGGAUGGACUCGCGGCUUAUCAGCUUGUUGGUGGGGUAGUGGCUUACCAAGGCUUUGACGGGUAGCCGGCCUGGGAGGGUGACCGGCCACAUUGGGACUGAGAUACGGACCAGGCUCCUACGGGAGGCAGCAGUGGGAAAUAUUGCACAAUGGGCGGAAGCCUGAUGCAGCAACGCCGCGUGCGGGAUGACGGCCUUCGGGUUGUAAACCGCUUUCGCCUGUAACGAAGCGUGAGUGACGGUAAUGGGUAAAGAAGCACCGGCUAACUACGUG